rnacentral:lncRNA from 14 species
CCAUGGAAUGACUGGGACGGGAUGGGGCACGUGUGUCCUGCACUGGGUGUGCAGCCGUGACCCAGCCCCUGAGAAGUAGACACCCCAGGGUCGGCAGGGCACCUGGGACAAGGUCAAGAAGAAGUCGGUAAUGCUGCUUUCCUUGGCUCUGCCACUGCCACCUGAGCCAGGCACAGCUUGUCUGCAGGAGACACAAUCCCAGGAUCACAGCCCCCUCUGUGCUCUGGAUGGAAAAUGGAAACCCGCCCUGGGUUUGGCCGGAGCUGUGCUCGAGACACCGGCUUCCUGCAGAACCAAGAGUGAGUAUUCCUGGCUCCUCCUCAUUUCCAGCUCCUUCCCUUCCUUCUCCAUCACCAUGAGCUGUGUCCCAUCAGCCCUUUGCUCUCUGAACCUUCUCUGCCCCAUUUCCCACUGGCACAUCCCCUGCUGAUCCCUGUUGUUAUUGCAGGAGUGACCCCGGCCCCAGUGGUGGGGAAGCUCUUCACGGCUGAGACGCCAAACUCGUCCUGCUCCAGUGAGGAGCAGGAUUCCUACUUUU